GCAUAUCAAUAAGCGGAGGAAAAGAAACCAACAGGGAUUGCCCUUAGUAACGGCGAAGUGAAGCGGCAACAGCUCAAAUUUGAAAUCUGGCCCCCGGGUCCGAGUUUGUAAUUUGUAGAGGAUGCUUUUGGUGCGGUACCUUCCGAGUUCCCUGGAACGGGACGCCAUAGAGGGUGAGAGCCCCGUCUGGUUGGACGCCAAUCCUUUGUAAAGCUCCUUCGACGAGUCGAGUAGUUUGGGAAUGCUGCUCUAAAUGGGAGGUAUAUGUCUUCUAAAGCUAAAUAUUGGCCAGAGACCGAUAGCGCACAAGUAGAGUGAUCGAAAGAUGAAAAGCACUUUGAAAAGAGAGUUAAAAAGUACGUGAAAUUGUUGAAAGGGAAGCGCUCAUGACCAGACUUGGGCCCGGUUGAUCAUCCAGGGUUCUCCCUGGUGCACUCUUCCGGCCCAGGCCAGCAUCAGUUCGCUGUGGGGGAUAAAGGCUUCGGGAAUGUGGCUCCUCCGGGAGUGUUAUAGCCCGCUGCGUAAUACCCUGUGGCGGACUGAGGUUCGCGCAUCUGCAAGGAUGCUGGCGUAAUGGUCAUCAGCGACCCGUCUUGAAACACGGACCAAGGAGUCGUCUUCGUAUGCGAGUGUUCGGGUGUUAAACCCCUACGCGGAAUGAAAGUGAACGCAGGUGAGAGCUUCGGCGCAUCAUCGACCGAUCCUGAUGUUCUCGGAUGGAUUUGAGUAAGAGCAUACGGGGCCGGACCCGAAAGAAGGUGAACUAUGCCUGUAUAGGGUGAAGCCAGAGGAAAACUCUGGUGGAGGCUCGCAGCGGUUCUGACGUGCAAAUCGAUUCGUCAAAAUAUGGGCAUGGGGGGCGAAAGACUAAUCGAACCUUCUAGUAGCUGGUUUCCGCCGAAG
rnacentral:rRNA from 1 species